rnacentral:rRNA from 1 species
UACGGAGGGUGCAAGCGUUGUUCGGAAUCAUUGGGCGUAAAGGGCGCGUAGGUGGUUCUGUAUGUCUAUCGUGAAAGCCUACAGCUCAACUGUAUUUUGUCGGUAGAAACUGCAGGACUUGAGGCUGGGAGGGGCUGGUGGAAUUCCCUGUGUAGCGGUGAAAUGCGUAGAGAUGGGGGAGAACACUCGUGGCGAAGGCGGCCAGCUAGACCAGUUCUGACACUGAGGCGCGACAGCGUGGGGAGCAAACAGG